rnacentral:piRNA from 1 species
UCCCCUCGGGCCAGACUAGUGC